rnacentral:rRNA from 1 species
CCAACCGGGAUUCCCCGAGUAAGGGCGACUGAAAGGGGAUCAGCCCAGCGCAUAACCUCACGGUCGUGUUUUGGCUGUUGAGGGGUGUUGCGUUUCGGUGGAUCCGUACUGCUCGAGUUGCUCACCGCCUAAGUCAUUGCUUGAAUGCAGCCCCUAGGAGGGUGGUAGGCCCGUGUGGCGGCGCCUGUAAAAAGGUUGGAGGCAACUUGGGUGGAGGGGUCUUUACCGUAGAGUCGGGUUGCUUAGUACUGCAGCCCUAAGUAGGUGGUAAACUCCAUCUAAGGCUAAAUACUACCACGAGUCCGAUAUUUGACAAGUACCGUGAGGGAAAGCUGAAAAGGACUCUGAAGAGAGAGUUCAAGAGGACGUGAAACCAUUAGAAGCUGAAACGGGUGGAACCGUGAAGGUGGAAAGAGGGCAUUCAGGCCUUAGGUCNUUUGCCAUCCCUGGCUGGGUUGCCUAGAGAGAGAGGACCCGGCGUUAGUGUUAAUUGCCGCGGCCCCUUGCCAGGUUUGUUGGUGGGCUUGAGGCUUUAUUUGUCCCUCUAGUACAGUUGGUGGCGAGCCGCCUUCUGGACCCCGAAGUGCUCUCUAGACUGGUAGCUUGCACCAAUGGUGUAGGUGAUGACUUGAUGAGUUACCGACUGGGUUUGGAGGGCGGUGACUGCAAGGAGGCUGUGAGAGCAGCCUCUCGCCAUGUGAGAGUGAUCGG